UACGAAGGGGGGCUAGCGUUGUUCGGAAUCACUGGGCGUAAAGCGCACGUAGGCGGAUCUUUUAAGUCAGGGGUGAAAAUCCCGAGGCUCAACCUCGGAACUGCCUUUGAUACUGGGGAUCUCGAGUCCGGGAGAGGUGAGUGGAACUGCGAGUGAGAGGUGAAAUUCGUAGAUAUUCGCAAAGAACACCAGUGGCGAAGGCGGACUCACUGGCCCG
rnacentral:rRNA from 1 species